UACGGAGGGUGCGAGCGUUGUCCGGAAUCACUGGGCGUAAAGGGCGCGUAGGCGGCCUGGUAAGUAGGGGGUGAAAUCCUGCGGCUUAACCGCAGGGCUGCCUUCUAAACUGUCAGGCUUGAGCACGGUAGAGGCAGAUGGAAUUCCCGGUGUAGCGGUGGAAUGCGUAGAGAUCGGGAAGAACAUCAGUGGCGAAGGCGGUCUGCUGGGCCGUUGCUGACGCUGAGGCGCGACAGCGUGGGGAGCAAACAGG
rnacentral:rRNA from 1 species